GCGUCUCCGUCCUGGAUGGUGUAUUUGCACUCACCGAGGGUGUUCCAGAGACGGAUGGUGCGAUCACGAGAGGCGGAAACGAUCUGGCGGUUGUCGAUCGAGAAGGCGACGGACAGGACGUCCUUGGUGUGACCGACGAAGCGGCGGGUGGUGGCGCCGGUGCUGAGGUCCCAGAGACGGAGCUCGCCGUCCCAGGAGCCGGA
rnacentral:misc_RNA from 1 species